GCCUCCAUAGCUCAGUGGCAUAGCACUGGUCUUGUAAACCAGGGGUCGUGAGAUCGAUCCUCACUGGGGUGCA
rnacentral:tRNA from 1 species